GUGCCAGCAGCCGCGGUAAUACGAAGGGGGCUAGCGUUGUUCGGAAUUACUGGGCGUAAAGCGAGCGUAGGUUGCUCGAUAGGUCAGUGGUGAAAGCCCAGAGCUCAACUCUGGAACUGCCAUUGAAACUGUCGAGCUGGAAUCUCAGAGGGGGUAGCGGAAUUCCAAAUGUAGGGGUGAAAUCCGUAGAUAUUUGGAGGAACACCGGUGGCGAAGGCGGCUACCUGGAUGAGUAUUGACACUGAGGCUCGAAAGCGUGGGGAUCAAACAGGAUUAGAUACCCUGGUAGUCCACGCUGUAAACGAUGGAUGCUAGUUGUUGGGGGGUUCCCUCUCAGUGACGAAGCUAACGCAUUAAGCAUCCCGCCUGGGGAGUACGGUCGCAAGAUUAAAACUCAAAGAAAUUGGCGG
rnacentral:rRNA from 1 species